CCCUUAGAUGUUCUGGGCCGCACGCGCGCUACACUGAUGCAUUCAACGAGUCUAAAACCUGGUCUGAUAGGGCUGGGUAAUCUUUUGAAAGUGCAUCGUGAUUGGGAUAGAUGAUUGCAAUUCUUCAUCUUCAACGAGGAAUGCCUAGUAAACGCAAGUCAUCAGCUUGCAUUGAUUACGUCCCUGCCCUUUGUACACACCGCCCGUCGCUCCUACCGAUUGAAUGAUCCGAUGAAUACCAUGGAUUGAGAGUACGAAUGGGUUCGCUCAUUUCUGCUGUUCGAGAAGUGGAGUAAAUCUUAUCAUUUAGAGGAAGGAGAAGUCGUAACA
rnacentral:rRNA from 1 species